rnacentral:rRNA from 1 species
GAUGAACGCUGGCGGCGUGCCUAAUACAUGCAAGUCGAGCGAACAGAUGAGGAGCUUGCUCCUCUGACGUUAGCGGCGGACGGGUGAGUAACACGUGGAUAACCUACCUAUAAGACUGGGAUAACUUCGGGAAACCGGAGCUAAUACCGGAUAAUAUAUUGAACCGCAUGGUUCAAUAGUGAAAGACGGUUUUGCUGUCACUUAUAGAUGGAUCCGCGCCGCAUUAGCUAGUUGGUAAGGUAACGGCUUACCAAGGCAACGAUGCGUAACCGACCUGAGAGGGUGAUCGGCCACACUGGAACGGCGACACGGUCCAGACUCCUACGGGAGGCAGCAGUAGGGAAUAUUCCGCAAUGGGCGAAAGCCUGACGGAGCAACGCCGCGUGAGUGAUGAAGGUCUUCGGAUCGUAAAACUCUGUUAUUAGGGAAGAACAAAUGUGUAAGUAACUAUGCACGUCUUGACGGUACCUAAUCAGAAAGCCACGGCUAACUCCGUG